AUUGAACGCUGGCGGCAGGCCUAACACAUGCAAGUCGAGCGAGCGGCGGACGGGUGAGUAAUGUCUGGGAAACUGCCGGAUGGAGGGGGAUAACUACUGGAAACGGUAGCUAAUACCGCAUACCAUCAGAUGGGGCCAGAAGGGAUUAGCUAGUAGGUGGGGUAACGGCUACACUAGGCGACGAUCCCUAGCUGGUCUGAGAGGUUGACCAGCCACACUGGAACUGAGACACGGUCCAGACUCCUACGGGCGGCAGCGGUGGGAAAUAUUGCACAAUGGGCGCAAGCCGGAUGCAGCCAUGCCGCGUGUAUGAAGAAGGCCUUCGGGUUGUAAAGUACUUUCAGCGGGGAGGCGUUACCCGCAGAAGAAGCACCGGCUAACUCCGUGCCAGCAGCCGCGGUAAUUC
rnacentral:rRNA from 1 species